GAGCCAGGCCUCGAUGAG
rnacentral:snRNA from 1 species